UACGGAGGAUGCGAGCGUUAUCCGGAUUUAUUGGGUUUAAAGGGUGCGUAGGCGGGCUUUUAAGUCAGCGGUAAAAAUUCGGGGCUCAACCCCGUCCGGCCGUUGAAACUGGGGGCCUUGAGUGGGCGAGAAGAAGGCGGAAUGCGUGGUGUAGCGGUGAAAUGCAUAGAUAUCACGCAGAACCCCGAUUGCGAAGGCAGCCUUCCGGCGCCCUACUGACGCUGAGGCACGAAAGUGCGGGGACCGAACAGG
rnacentral:rRNA from 1 species